rnacentral:lncRNA from 1 species
CAUUUCUGCAACAGAAUAAUAUUACAGCAUCGAAUGGAUUCUCUCCUGCUCAGUUCUCACAUGCUUCCUGGUAAUAUGUUUCACACUAGGACAGCCAGUAAGGGCCAUGGUCAACUCAAACUCAUCCUUCAGCAUUUCGAUGACGCGUCUCACCCAUAUUCCCUUUUGCAGCAAGGCCGUAGACUACAGCCUUCCAAUCUGGAGUAACAUAUGACAUACAUUUGUUUAGUAAUCAAAUAAGGACCCGAACAAAAGUAGUACUGCAGUUGAAAUAAAUUUCUAUGUUACCUUUGUGUCCCUGGAAUCAACUGUUAACAAAAGAGAAAAGAAAGGUGGCUCCAGAGUCUCACCACUGAAAUUAAAAAAACUUAAGGGUGAAGUUGUGAAAAGCUUACAAGUACAGCUUGUGCACCGAGGGCCAAUGCUUGAAAACAUCUGUUCCUCGCCGCACUCCUCCAUCCAUAAGAAUUGGAACUCUUCCUUUAACGGCAUGAACCACCUGCAAGCUCAGGGUUCACAAGUAUAAAAUGUAUUGGUUACGAUUUCCUUGGUAAAAUCUAUGUGUAACCCAAAGUUGUCAGGGGACACAUAUCUUAUUCAAAAUGCUGGUCAUUUCUACAUCGAGCUAGUUAGAUCGAAAAAUGUAUUGUUACAAGAUCUCCAUCAUUAAUACAUGAAACGGCAAGUUCCAUUGUCUACACGUCAGAAAACUAGCAAAAACUACAUGCAUUAGCAUUGUUAUGAGCACCCUAUAGAUUUGCGUCUCCUGUUUCCCGAUUCAUAUGCCUUAAAUUAAAACUCAGAAUAUUAAUUAGGAGAAUUAUGUAAUCCUUAAUAAUAUGAUAUUUCUCAACCUUUCAAGUUAAAUUCAAUGGCAGCAGCAAUGUUGUCAGUUUGGAUUCCCUUUUACAGUCUUAAAAAAUUUUAGAAUGCAUUCUACUAUCAACAUUAAUCAAAAUAAACUGACACAUAUUUGUAAUCAAUUCAAUUCUCACAAUUAUUUACGUACUUGUAAAAGUGAAGUAAGUUUAGAUCUAUAUACAAAUCUAGAUCAUAUUGUCUGCAGUUUAGAAAGCUAAAAGUGGUGUGAAAUUUAUAGUCACCUCUUCCAGAGCAGAAAUAGUGGCAGGACUAUAAUCUAACUGUCGAGCUCCGUGAUUGGAGACAAUAAUCCCAGCACACCUACUUCCACAGCUUUAUUUGCUGAAAAUUUUAGAACCAGCAAUUAACAAAUCUUCAAUAGGAACUCACAAAUAAAUGAAAAUAUUUCUGAUGAAAUUCAUAAAAGAGAUAGAUAGUGACGUGAGGAGAGGAUAUUUAACAAGAAUAUUUUCAUUUGGAUGAUUGGCAUCUCCAAUUGUACAAACUUUAAUUCUAAGUCUUUAAUCCACUACCAAAUCACUGCAUAAAUAAACUCUGGCUUAGAGACUCACAAUGUAUAAAUGGAAAAGAAUCCUCUUUUAGUCUAAGGCUACAUGGAAAACAAAACAAAGCGAUACUCAUAUCAUCAGAUGGAGCUUUGAUCUUACCAUCUUCACGAGUAAGUAUCCCUUGAUCAAAAUUGGUAAGUUUUGUAAUAGAUCUUAGCCAUUCUAAAUCCUGCAGAAGCAUAUGAUAUUCUUCAGACUCAAAACUUUACGAGAGUAUUGAGAUCAAUAGCCACUCAAAACUUCGCAGAAGCAUUUGUUCUAAGUAGCUGAAUAAUAUACACUUAUUUUUUCUUGAUAUAUUUCCGAGCAAGGGAAAGAAACAGCAGGACAGAUUUUUUCUUGAUAUACAAAAGGUGAAAGACUUCACUGAUCUCUACCUUCCAACUUAAAGAAGCAUCCAUGGUCUCGUUGGCAUCAGCUUCAAAAUUCGAACCUGUAUCCUGUAAAAAGUGUAAUCCAUUAAGUUAAAGUAAAGGAUUAUAGAUAUAGUCUAUGAGUUUAAACAAGCAGUAAAAGUAAAUGCCGGCUGAGAACCAGAAAUAUCAAAAAUAAAUAAGUGAAACUGUAACACUCACAGAGCUGACUUUGGUUGAUAAGAGGCCUUCCAAAUUCUUCAACGGCGGUGUAAUCAUUCUGCAGAUGUUGUUGAGUGAGAUUCAAAAGACAAUGUUUACUGUACCAAAUAAAAGGUAAAGGCACUAUAUAUUUCUUUUGAUGUCACAAUACAACAUUUGUGUCAUAAUCACUAUCCUAAAAGGUUUUUUUUAACCAAAGUUUCAAUUCAAUUAUAUGUGGUAGUACUUGGAAUAUAUAGAAACCAAAGAUAAAAAAGAUGAUAAUUCACUUGUUCUUUAUAUCUGCCUCCUUCUACAAGUCUUGGAGUAUCAGCAGUUAGGACAAGAGCCUUAAAACAUUCCUUUCAGCUCUCUGCACUAGAGUAGCUGUUAUAUCUCGUUUCUUGAAUACCUAUUCACAAAAGGAGCCAUAGUGUGGUUCAAACCCUUUAAGUAACAUUAUAAGAAAGAAGAAAAUAGUUGUUGCUCAAAAAAUGAGCAGUUUCCUAAUAAGAAUAGGAGGGGAAAAUAAAAAUAAAAAGGAAAAAGAAAAAAGAAAGAGCCCAAGACAAGCCAACUACAUAUAAUUGAUAGAAGCGAACAGCAUUGGAGCUGGCCGCAACCUCCUCUAUGGAGCUGCUAGAUGUGAAGGAUAAAACCAUUAUGGUGUUACAUGAAGCUGCUGCUCUGGCUGUGGCUACCUCUCCUGGAAUAUAUACAAACACUUAAUGUUAGAAUUUGAACAAAAUCUUCAUGAUGUACAUCUUGAAGAAGGAAUAAGACUUCAGGGUUUGCAAGCUUAUGCAAAGCGUUGGAGCAAUGAUAAUGGGAGCCGAGAUUUUGUAAUCAAGUAUGGUAGUCGAUAAAUCAAUUCUGCUGACAUCGACAAGAAUUCUUGCCGAAACCUGAAGAGAUAAUAAAAAAUCCAUUUGAAAGUUCUGAAUCUAGUUCUAAGAUUACUCAUUGAACUCAUUUGUCUUACGUAAUUCUAUGAAAGGCUUCCACAUUCUCUUUUAGGGUAUGUUCAUCUUCUGCUCCACCAGCGUAGAAAUCAUAAUACAUUUUUGGAAGGCCAGCCUUGCCAUUCUUGGAACUCAUUCAAAUUAACAGGUUCAGCUGCCAUUUGGAACCUGCAAACGUGGACAUUAUCAACUUUUCAAGUAAAUCAAUCCAGAUGCUACAUACUGCAUGCAUAAAUCAGAAUAAUUCAUUUCAAGAAACUUAAAGCAGCAUUUGGAUAUAGCAAGAAAAUCCUGUAAUAGGUGACACUUCUCUUCGGAAGUGAACAAAUGGUAUGCCAACAUUGCAUAGGCCCCCCCCCCCCCCAAAAAAAAAAAAGAAAAAGAAAAAGAAAAACGGUUCUCAGGAUCAUUCUAUAACACACAAACACUUGUUUAAAAUAAUAACGGAAAUAUUGUUUUCUUUCUGUAAAUUUUCAGUGUACAGUGUUCUCGUCAUACCGUCAAGAAAUAUACCGUAUACAAUAAAGUAACAUUUAAGCGCUUUCUUAUCCGUCAAUGAUCCAUUAUACAUGUAAUUUCUAAGAUACAUACAGACAUACAUACACACUAGCACAUGAUAACAGCUAAAUAUGGUUCACAUCUAUAAAAUCAGUAAGAUACGAUGAUCCAAUAUAGCAUUUCACGUACUUAAGCUCACAGGCAAGUUCAUCAUGAUCAAAACAUGCUUACGAAUCACGACAUCAGAAAAAAAAAAAAAAAAAAAAAAAAAAACUUCCUGAAAGAGAGAGAAUAAAGAUACCGAUUCGAAUAACUAUUAAUCAAACUUAAACAAUAGAAUUUUGUAAAGAAAUGAACCCGAAUGACUAAAAUUUCAACUGAUGAAGGUCGAUCGUGAGGCAGAUUACAACAGUGAGUCGGGGCAGAGUCAAAGUCAAGAAGCAUAUAAAGGAUUAGUAUUACUUAAUUUGUCAUUUGACGUGUUUCCUACAAUUAUAGUCUUAUCAACUUCUAUCAUUUUUCAGAAUUUUGUUGUUUUCUUGGGCUUGCACGGUGGAUACAGGCUCCGUAUAUUCCUUACGUUUUUAUUAUUUUUUACUUCCUCUUCUUGGAUUGUACCAUCACUUGCCUUCUCUCUAUAUUAUAUAUAUAUGGACAAAAAUAAAAUGAAGUGAGAAUCAAGAUUAAUUUAGUUACCAUAGAUAAAGCGUUUGAUUUUAAAUAUUUUUUUUUACAAAAUUUAAGAAAUUUAAACAAAAAAUCUUUAUAUCCAUUCUUUUGUUGAAACAGGCAGUCGUUCACACGAAAACUGAUUGCCAUUGGGCUUCCUGUCUAGAGUCCAGACAGUAAGAACUGGGCCUGCUGUAGGAUGGCCCAAAUAGAACAAAACGCAUAUAAUGAGCAAAAUCAAAGCAUUCAACAUUGUAACCGAUCUAUAUGUUUUUGCAUAUUCAGUUUCCACGCCUUUCAAACUGUCUAGGCAGCCGUGAUGCCACCUGUACUCGGGUCUUUGAUCACCAUUGUCUCUCUGUUCAUGCAAGAAUUUGCAGUUGUCUCCAAAAUAGCAUCUUCCAUUAGGAUAAUAUGGGCAGAGCGUUGUUUCAUGCAGCUUUUGUUCUGAGGUGGACAUGUUGGAGGAUGAUGGUUAAUGCUUUUCAAUCGCUGUCUAUUGAUUGGAGCCUCCCUAAUGCUGCUGAGCUUAACAAUAGGAUCUUGAGGAACCUGUGUCUGGCAAUUAUUCUGCAUUACUGCCAAUUCCUGCUCUAACCAUUGUGAAAGCAGCUUUGCUGCUUUUUGGAAUCAGCAGAAAGCUGAGGUUGAGCUGCCAGCUUCCUAUGAUCGACUGAUAAGCUUGGUUUUUGAGGUUGAACUGAUAACUGCUGAGGUCCAUUCUUCAUUUGAUUAGAGUCCAUAUUCAAGGCUAGCUGUUGUUGAGACAGAAUCUCCACUUUUUCUGUUACAAUCAAAUUCAUUUGACACUGGCAACUUUUUGGAACCUGAUUUAUGGACAUCCUGAAGAACAAACAACAUAAGCAUGUAAAUCUUAAAAUAACAUGAUUUAUGGACAUCUUAAAAUAACAUGGUUGAGUUUCUUCAUUUUUAUAUGAAAUUAUACCUAUUUGCUUUCAGCAAUUUCCUCUUUUCCUUUCCAUGGAUCCGUAUUUCUCUAUUAGACCUUGCAAUAAAACCCCUUGAGUGCUUCUCCAUCAAAACCUUGUGUCUCUCCCCUUCGUCUUCCCAUCUCUGACAGCAACAAUAUGGGCAAAGCUGGGUUAAUAUUUAAGGAUCCACAGAUAAUAGGAAGAAGAAACUUCAGCUCUGUGCAAACCUGUCUCAAGGUCUUCAGACGAUAAAGGUUUCGACCUUUAAUUAGGAGAGGACGAAGUGGAGGGAGUGGCUUCUCCCCUUUGCUCCAAAGUACCUCUAUCUGAAAGAUUAGCCAAAAACAGCACUUUAAUCACAAUAAUUAUUUUGACGGAAUUUAAAAUACAGCAUCUGCCUGUUCAAAAUUUACUCCUAGAAAAUUUAUCUCAAUUGUAGGUAAACCAACUAGAGAAAUUCCAUCCAUCAAAUUUGCUUGAAAUGGUCAUACCGCAAAAUCAAGAAAUAUCAUUACCCUAAUGCAUAAACCCAGAUAACUGAACAGUUUUAAGACAUGACAGUUCAAGAAUAGUCAUAGAUUUUCUAUGAUUAAUGGCUUUCCAAUAAACUCCCAAAGUCCAAAUUAUAUAGGGCUUAUGACUCACUGUAAAUGUAUGUUGUUGCUUGGCUGCUCCAUAGCUUUCUUUCACAAUGCGGCCAGCAACAAUCCUUUUGCCACAUGGGGGACCACUUGCACUACAAGCUGCUAUGUUAAACCUAAUUAAUGAUGUAGAAAUAAGGUAAGAACAAAACACUCAACGGUUGCAAAACAACUUUGAGAAAAGAGCACAGCGAUACUAGCAAAUCUAAAGUAUUUGUUGUCAUUGUUACAUUUGUAAAUCAAAUAAUCUAUUGACAGAAUUACUAUUCUUUGGUAGAUAUAGGAGGUUAAACGCCAGUUUCAUUGAACUUAUAUUUAAGGCAGAUAAACAUAGAGUCAUAGACCAAUAGCUUACAUUUUGUAAACAUUCUGUUUAAACAUAACAACGUCACCUGUGCAAGCGUCACCUGCAUUUAAUCGGUACGNCAGAACUUUCGGAGAUGGAAAAUCUCCUGGCUGUGUGUAUAAGUUUCGAUAAUAAUGAUAAAAAGGGAGGAAGAAUAAGGAUGAUGAAGACCGUCUUGAGGGCUUACAGUUGCCUCAAAAUCUUGAGACCUUAAACAUUUUUGACCAUAGAGGUAACAGGAUUUCUCGCCUGAGAAUAAUGUUGUUAUCUAAGUUGCAGUCUAUGGCAUUAGAUUGGUGCAUGAACUUAGUGCAAUUGCCUCCUUUGGGAGAAUUGGCAGCCCUUGAGUCACUGAUUACACUAAGGAUGAAGAACUUGUAAAGGUGGGGAAUGAAUUUUUGGGAACAGAUCAAAGCCGUGGGAAACCAUUUGUUGCUUUUUCUAAAUUGAAUUGACUUGUUUUUAGAAAAUGAAAGUAUGGAAAGAGUGGAAAUAUAAAAUGAGGAAGAGGGCAAUUAUGUAAUCAUGCCAAGUCUUCAUUCAUUAACAAUUGGAUUCUGCCCCAAAUUAGAGACACUUCCGGAUGACCACUGUCCUUGACACUAUAUUCGAAGAUCAUUUCAUGUCCUGUGCUGGAAAAUUGUUAUAAAAAGGGAACAGCAGAGAGGCAAAAGAACUCUCAUAUCAAGAUUUCUUAUGCAGUUGAAUGCAACAGACACAAGGUAACUCUUCUCCUUGUUUUUACAUAGUUUGAUUUUUAGAAUUCGUUUUUGGUUUUUCAUGAUCCUGUAAUCUUUUGUCGUAAAUAAAAUAGAUAUGCAACCACCUGCAUUUGUAAAGAGAUGUUAAUUUAAUGUAUUGUUCUAUUCACUUAGAAAUUGUGGAUGACAUCACUGGAUAAUUUGAUCUUAUUGGUUUUUUUUCCAGGAGAAUGGUGUGAGAAGUAUUCUGGAGAGGAAUCAAAUGUUAUAUGUCGUGCCCAUUUCAGAUAUCAAAUAUUUGGUAAGUUAAUCUCUUCAACUCACACAUAUCACAUUCCUGGUCUUGGUUUUCAGAAUGUAGAACUGGCUACUAGGCACAGCAACUAAUCAAUAGAAUUGUAAAAUUAUAUCUCAGUGCAGAGCAAUUACUUCAAAGUCUCCAAAGAUGAUGUGGGCGAGACAGAACCUUCCCCUUUGAAACAGAAAGAAAACGUUAUCUUAAAACUUUUGCUUAUAGUUAUGUUACAGUUUGAAUUCCUUUACUACUUCAUAAUCAUUAUUCUUCAAUCUUGAGGUGUUUCUCAGAGUGUAAUACAACUUUCAAAAAAUGGAGAUUGCAUUGAAGUCAGAAAGGGUGCGAAAGGCCCUCGAGGGAAGAAAGUUGAUAGGACGCUUUGGAUGGCUAUUGUUAAACCUCGAAUAGUAUGAUAUUGUCUGCUUUAAACAAAAGUCAGGUUAUUUUUUUUCUUCUUCAGUUCUCGUCAAGAGGCAUCAUACUAUUUAAGAAAUGAAUUUGUAUAUGUAGUCUAGCAUUGCUUUUAAAGCAGGCAAUGCAGGACAUUGACUUCCAAUCCUUAUCAUCCUUGAUAUUUCCAAAUCUUGAAUCACAUAUUGAAGCUCUGCAAGGAAAAGGAAAUGGAUCAUUCCAAGUUACCAGUUGCAGGAUGAUGGAAGAUCCGAUUACAAGACAUCAGGGAAUAGUGGCUGGAUUGCCUGAUUCUAAAUGAUAUUCAUGAAUCAUGACCCUUUGUUCUGUCACUUGGUUUCAGGAACUAGCCACUGGAAAUAUUUUCGUUGCUCUUUUUAUGUCUGUCUUUCACAGCGAAGGUAGAAGGUUGAAGCACAAGAGGGUGAUUGAUAUGCUGUUAACUUUUAUCUUAGUACAAUAUACCAAAACAAUUUAUUUUAAUGUAGCAACUGGUAAGUCCUUUUAUUUUCAUGUUAUUCAGCAAUCGAUGCUUUUUGUUCCUCUGUGGCCUCUUUUGUAUUCGAUACAAUAUACAUAAGUUCGACGAAGGGUUCCACUAAACUUCAUUUUUCUGUGAUGCUCACAUAAUUUUGGAUAUGGAGCAGGAGUUGAAGCCACCAAUUCAGACUGAAACGUUGAGCCAAAUUUUACCAAAAUUUCACUUUGUUUGAUGCAUUUGCAUAUUAGGCACUUUAGGUCCGUGCCUUUUGCUAGCUUGUCCUAGAUGGUGCAAGGAAACAGAGUCACAAAAUCAAUCGACAAAAAGAUGUUAUAAACCAUAAAAUACUUCAAAUUUAAUUAGUUUAAAUGAUUGCUCAUGGUUUAAUUCAUCCAUACAUAUAAGGUUGUGUUUGGCACCCAGCAUUACUCCUCAUUAUAGCCUUGUAUUGUAUUAAAUUAAUACAAUACUAUGUUUGGCAAAAAAUGAACUUUGUAUUAGACCACAUUGUAACACACCAAACGCCGCACAAAUUAAACCCGUGAGGGGGGGUCGUAAUUAGGCCGCAUUGCAUUAGAAUAGAAAGCAAAUUCUUUCUUCUUCACGAUCUCAGCCACAACCACAAACCAAAUCUUCUCUUCGCAAAACCCAAAGUAAAUUUUUUCUCUCAAACUCACUCGCCUUUCACUCACAUAUUUUCCUCCUUCUCCUUCAAUUUCUCAAGAGCCAAACAUAGCAAAUGGAAUUACUAAGUGAGCGGUGUAGUCGAAGCGUCUGAAUCUUUUAUUGGAGCCAAUGCGUCAUUUGAAGUUCAAACAACAGCGUAGAGUGGCAGUGGUGCUACGGCGAGAUUCGAACAGACUCUCGUGUAGAUUUCAUUUUUCCAUUUAGGUUUCGAGUUUAAAUGUUUCAAUUGAUGACUCUAUAAAGCCCAAAAAAAUUAUAAUAGUAAUAAUAAUAAUAAUAAUAAUAAUCAUCAUCAUCUAGACUUUUAGUACUCAUAUUGUCCAUGAUAUUAAAAGAAAAACAGAAAAAUACACUGUUACAUAAUAAAUAUGACACUUUCACAUAUAAAGUGAUUGUCUAUAACUCUGCUAAUUAGAACUAAUUAAUUAAAUAUUAAAAUGUAUUUUUUACCUUAAAUGACGUGUUUUCUCUAUCAUUCUUUGAAUACCAGAGACAAAAUGAGGUAUUAAAAAACUAUAAAGGAUUAAAAUGGUAAAAACAAAUUGUGGGAGGGACUCAAGUGUCAGUCUCCCUUAUUUUUCAAUACAAAUUUGUACUCGAAACUUUAACCCUUAAAUUAUCAUAAUUCUCACAAUAGAUAAGUUAGUUUCCUUAUAGAUUCCGUUAUUAAAACCAAAAGUUAAUUACCAGGAAGUCUCAUCACACGUAACUAAGUAUUUAUUAUCUUUAUCAUAUUUUCUAAUUCCCCACAUUAUUUAAUAUUUUCUAUCUGACAAAAUGGUUGUAAAAUACAUAAUUACAUAAAACUCUCAUUGUAAAAGAAAAUUAUUCGGGAGAGUGCCAAAAUAGGGAGGCUGCCACUUUUUUUUCUCAAUCGAGUUUUCGUGUUUAUCACUCACUUAAUAUUUUUAUGGUUUUUAUAUAUAAUACGCAAUUACUUUCUUUAACAGAAAAAUUUAUCUGAGUGAAAAAAAAAAGUUCUUUUCUUUAGAAAUUGGAGUAACAUGAUAUAUUAAAAAAAUUAUAAGAGUAAAUAAUUGGUGAAAUUCGAAAACAAUAGGAGAGGAACGAGCAAAUAACCCGUCAAAGUAGGAAGGUCAUCACAUUAGCGUUGUCUGUCCACUACCGUCUUCAAAUCAUUAAGACUUUAUUGACGUCAUAAGGUAUAAUGAUAUUUCACUACGCUUUAAAAGCGUAAUUUGGACAAUAUUCCGUUAGUUUUCUUAACGGUUUGAAGACGAUAGUGGAUAAGUGUAAAAAAAUAAAUUUAAGUGGAGCACAGUAAAAAAUUAAAAAUUAUAUAUUUUUAAAAAGUGCGGGUAGACGGUAAAUAAUUACCGUUAAUCCAUUCAUCGAACACCUUGUUUAUCUAACAAUAAGGUUAGGUGGCAAAGUAUCAUUUUUCACCUCAUGGGUCAUGAAAUUGGAAAUCGGCAUGUCUUUACGAUUAAGAUUUCUUUUUUUUUUAAUCUAGUUAUCACAUCAUGCGUUUAAAUUUUAUUUGGAGUUGUUAUAAUAUAAUCGAUAGAAAUCUUUAACGUGAGAAAGCAGCAGCAUUACCUUGACGUGCGGUUACUGCUGGCAGUGUGAUUGUUAAUAAUGAAGUAUUUAAUGAGAGAAGGUGGCGUGGAUUUUUUAUGGUGUGGAAUUUUCUAGACUGUAUUUGCACUCUUAGAUCAUGCUUAGAUGAAUUGUGGGGUUGCAUUAAAUUUUGAGAUUAAUAAAAUAAUUUAAUUUAAGGUAUGUUUGGUUGUCAUGAAUUAAUAGGAUAAAUAAAAAUUAAUUCAUAACAAUUGGGAUUAUUAGUCUUUAUAUUUAUAUAGGUUUAGGUGAGAUAAAAUUAAAUGAAGAAUUUGUGUCCUCUUUUCACUAUUUUAUUUUUCAUUUAACCUAAUAUUUUAAUAAAAAUUAAAUAUAGAAGUUAAUUUCAUAAUUUUUUAACCUAUAAUUUUGUUUUAUAUAGAAUAUCAAAAUUUUAUUCAUUAAUUUAAUUAAUAAUAUUGAAUUUUAAACAUAAAAUAAUAAACUAUUUCUUUGUAGUAGCAUUGAAUAUUAAAUAUUAAAGUCAACAAUUUCAAUAUAUUUAUAUUAUUAUUAAAUUUAUUAAAUUAAAUUAAUAUAGUCCUUUUCAAUAUUGUAACAAAUAAAAUGUGAUAUUUUUAUAAUUCAAUCUAAUCCAAUUUAAUUUUAAAAGUUAAUUCAAUCAAAUCAUCUUUCCAAAUGUAACCUGUUAUUAAGGUCUGGGUUUAGUGGCAAUAACAAGACUCAAUCGAUGCUCUCCUACACAAAUUAAUAGAAGGUGUAUGUAUCUCUCUAAAUAUUUUUGGAAGUAUAUAUAACUCCUCGGUAGAUCUCAAAUUACACUAUAUAAGCGUAUAAACUUAAGCUAAUAAUAGAUAAUAGGUUGUAAGAUGUAACAAUUUUUUUUUUAAUAAAAAAAGCCUUCCUGUUACUUUGACUGUCCGUGCACUGUUGCACGGGUCGAUAUAAUUGGUCUAUCAUUUUUAUUUGUGUUUUAUAAAAGUUGCAUGAAUAUGAGGCUUUUCAAUAUCAACUCUUAAAAUUAAAAACUCUGAUCGGUCUGGUACUUAUCUUGGCGGCUUUGGGAAUAAUUGGGACGUCUUCGGGCAGCUUUUUUUUUGAGGUGAUAUGCCAUGUUGCUAGUUAUUGAAAAUGCCAUUGCUAGAGGUUGGAAUUAUUCAUGGCAUGAGGUUAUGCUUCAAUUCUUGUUAUUACUUAUUUUGUAAUCUCGAGAAUUGGAUUUAAUUAACUACUGCAUCGUGUGGUGAAUUUCAUGCACUUCAAGAUCAUUCCUACUUUUCGAGGAGAGACCAAUGUUGUUGCUAAUCGAUUAGCUAAUCUCAAGUGUCAAUUGCAGCUCGCUAACUUGGUCGGUUAGAUAUUUCAUCAUCAGAUAUUAUUAGUCUUCUUUAAGAAGAUGCUAAUGGAUUUACUAUUAAUUAAUUUUUUUUAAAUUUAUUAACUUGCCUAUUAGAAUGGGUUUUUGUUGCUCUCAUUUGGGUGGUGGAGUGGAUUUUAAAUAGUUUUUUUUUUUUAUAUACUGAAAUUUUAGGGAGGUAAGACGCAAAAAAAAAAUGAAUUUGCACUUUACCCAUCGCUUAUGUUAAAAAGAAAAAGAAAGAAAGAAUAGACUUUUUGUUUCGUGGAUGCAAUUUAAACUGAAAUGGUAAAAUCUCCUAUUACAAAUAAGUGAUUUGGGUUGGAACCUCCACACGAAUGGGGAAGAAAUCUUUUUGACAUUAGACUAAACAAUAACUAUUAAAAAAAAAGUUUUUUUGAUUUAUUUAAGUUGUGUCUUUUGAAAUAAUUGUUGUUGGUUGGUUGUAUAAAUAAUUAGAUAUGAAGAGAAAAUGUUUAAUAUUUAAUAAAAUUUAUUAUUAAAAGUGCUGAAUUUAAAAGCAGUUAUACAUAUUUGGUAAAUCUUACUGUAAAAUUGUUGUAAGAAUAUAAAUAACUGAAUUAAACAUAAUAUUGAAGCAAUCUUAUUUAGAUAUUUAUAAAUAUGUAUAUAAAUAUUUUUUUAUUGUGUAUAUAUAGGAUUAAUAACUAAAAUAAAUAUUUUAUUUUUUAAUUUUGUUAUCUUAAUAUAAUGAGUAGUAAUAAUAAUAAUUUCUUUAAAGUUAAUAAUUUUAUUUCUUAAAUAAUAAGGAUAAGUUUAAAUGUUUAUAAUAUAUAUGAUGAUAUAAAUGAAAUUAUAUCGAGUAUAAAAUUUAUUCACAAAAUCAAAUUUUAAAAAAUUACUGAUUUCAUAAGUUUUUAAAAUCUACUGUAAAAUAAAAUAAUUUUAAAAAAUUCAUUGAACAUUAAAAAUAAUUUUUAAUUUUUUAAAAUUACUUUAAGUAUUUAAAAUAGUCCAAUGGGGGCCUGCCCACUAUUAAAGCUUCCGUCAACUAUGAUCCAUCUGAAUUAGAAAAAUAUAUCAGAUAAGAUAUUUUAAUAUUUUUUUAAUAGAAUGAUUACUCCAUUAUUAUCCACGUCUUUGUACUUGUCAUUUGCUGCUCCACAGCCGCCUCAAGGCAGCUGCCAUAAAUUGACCGCCAUCUUUCUUUUUUUCUGGUCAACAAGUCAAAAUCUUAUAUUAAUGCAUUAAAGACUUACAAACAUUGUCCAUUAUAAUUGAUUAAGCAGCUCUAUUAUAGUUUAGUUUUUUACGUGAUUAUACCUGUUUUCCUAUUUAUUACUAACAAUUAUUAUUAUAAUAAUUUUUUAAACAAAUUUUUAUUUGACAUCUAACAAUACAAAAAGCCUAAAUUAAAAUUUUCUCUGAAGGCCAUAAAAGCUCUUGAGCUGGCCCUGACUUCGAUUCAUCCCAUUCCAUCUUUAGCUUAUUUUAUUAUGAUCUAAAAUGAAUGCAAAUAUAUGGGAAACAGAUCAACAAUUAUUGGAUAGGCAUGUCCGUGAAUUAACGGUACAUUUAUUUCCUGAAAUGGGAAUGAGAAUGUACUGGAAUGUUAUUGAUGUGUUUAUGUGAGAGAGAGUAGUUAAGAUGUUAGUGGAGAUUGUGGUGGUGAAUUGUUGAAUUUAGAAGAUGGAAUAAGAAUUAUAAAUCAAUAUAGAUUGUGGUGACUUUUUUACAAAGAUAAAUAAAUAAAUAAAGGAUGCAAAGAACCCAGAGAAUAAAGAAAAAAAAACAAAGGAAGAAGAACAGAAGAGAGAAGGACGAAAAAGAAUUGCAGAAGGAGAUUGAGUUUGGAGAUGGUAAAAGAGGGAGAUAAGAGAUAAGGAUGAUGUGUGACCUGUCAGAUUUGUGUUUAUUGUUUUAUAAUUUAUUUUACCAUUUAUUUUAUAAAACAAGCAAAAUAUGUACAAGUUGUUUUGUAAUUCAUCACUCAAUCUAUUUGAAAAGUUUAGAAUUUAUUAGUUUAAUAUAUAUUUAAUGAAAAAUUAUGAUAUUUUUUAUAUUUAUAUUAAAAAUGAUGUAAAAAAUUUUAAAAUUUAAUACUUCUAUAAUUAAUUUUUUUUAAGUACUAAGAAAUAUUGUUUUGAAAUAUAUAAUGUAAAUUAAUCACCAAAAAAAUUAAUAUAUAAUGAAAUAUAUAACUCCAAACAUGAUAUAAUUAAAAAUUAAUACAGUACAAUGUAAUACCAAAUGUUGUAUAAUAUUAUUAUAAUUCAAUACUAAUACAAUACAAAAUAAUACAAUAUAACUGUAUUAAAAUAAUACAAUACAACAUAAUAUAAUAGAGUGUGUCAAACGCACCCUUAAACAUUUCUGCAACAGAAUAAUAUUACAGCAUCGAAUGGAUUCUCUCCUGCUCAGUUCUCACAUGCUUCCUGGUAAUAUGUUUCACACUAGGACAGCCAGUAAGGGCCAUGGUCAACUCAAACUCAUCCUUCAGCAUUUCGAUGACGCGUCUCACCCCAUAUUCCCCUUUUGCAGCAAGGCCGUAGACUACAGGCCUUCCAAU